UAUGGAGACAGGGAGGGCGGGGCCUGAGAAUGGGAAUACUCAUCCAGCUGAGCAGUGGGAGCCGUGCUGGAGCACCAGCAGCAGCCAAGGAAGGGGGGAAACAGAGCUGCUGCACAAGAUGAGCUGGGAUACAAAGCAGAUUUGCCAUCUUCCUUCCUCCUGGGGGUGCCAGGCAUAGAAACAGGAGGCUCCACAUCUGGCAUCGGCACCUGAUCCUCGAGCUCCAACUGUGAGCAAUGUGAACAAUGAAGCACAGAGCAACACUGAACUUCCAAGGAAAACAAGGUUAUGUGCAGACAGGCUUGAGCCAGAUAAGCUGAGAUGAUCUAUAUCCCAUAUGAGAAGCUUUGCCAGGGAAUUUGAAGCCAGUCUUCGCUUCCAUUUUGAAGCAGAAAAUCCAUAUGUCAAAGUAAAAACUGUAGAGUAAAGCGUGGACUGAGUAUCUGGGGCAAAGAAAAUAAACAUAAUCACG